rnacentral:rRNA from 1 species
UACGGGGGGAGCAAGCGUUGUUCGGAUUUACUGGGCGUAAAGGGCGCGUAGGCGGUCGUGAGCAAGUCACUUGUGAAAUCUCUGAGCUUAACUCAGAACGGCCAAGUGAUACUGCUGUGCUAGAGUGCAGAAGGGGCAAUCGGAAUUCUUGGUGUAGCGGUGAAAUGCGUAGAUAUCAAGAGGAACACCUGAGGUGAAGACGGGUUGCUGGGCUGACACUGACGCUGAGGCGCGAAAGCCAGGGGAGCAAACGGG